GUCUGUCUCAGGUGUUAAGGUCUGUCUCAGGUGUUAAGGUCUGUCUCAGGUGUUAAGGUCUGUCUCAGGUGUUAAGGUCUGUCUCAGGUGUUGAGGUCUGUCUCAGGUGUUGAGGUCUGUCUCAGGUGUAGAGGUCUGUCUCAGGUGUAGAGGUCUGUCUCAGGUGUUAAGGUCUGUCUCAGGUGUUGAGGUCUGUCUCAGGUGUUGAGGUCUGUCUCAGGUGUUGAGGUCUGUCUCAGGUGUUAAGGUCUGUCUCAGGUGUAGAGGUCUGUCUCAGGUGUAGAGGUCUGUCUCAGGUGUAGAGGUCUGUCUCAGG